CGCCCGCCGCGCGCGGSGGGKGGGGCGGGGGCACGGGGGGCGAAGAAGUWUUUCGGUAUGUAAAGCUCUAUCAGCAGGGAAGAAAGACUCGUAAGAGAGAUGACGGUACCUGACUAAGAAGCCCCGGCUAACUACKUGCCRGCAGCCGCGGUAAUACGUAGGGGGCAAGCGUUAUCCGGAUUUACUGGGUGUAAAGGGAGCGCAGACGGUCAAGCAAGUCKGAAGUGAAACCCCACGGYUCAACSGKGGGYUUGCUUKGGAAACKGUUUGACUAGAGUACUGGAGAGGUAAGCGGAAUUCCUAGKGUAGCGGUGAAAUGCGUAGAUAUUAGGAGGAACAUCGGKGGCGAAGGSGGCUUACUGRACAGCAACUGACGUUGAGGCYCGAAGGCGUGGGGAGCAAACRGGAUUAGAUACCCUGGUAGUCCACGCGGUAAACGAUGAAUACUAGGUGUUGG
rnacentral:rRNA from 1 species